rnacentral:rRNA from 1 species
GUGAGGAAUAUUGGACAAUGGGCGCAAGCCUGAUCCAGCCAUGCCGCGUGCAGGAAGACGCAUCUAUGGUGUGUAAACUGCUUUUGUACGGGAAGAAACACUCCCUCGUGAGGGAGCUUGACGGUACCGUAAGAAUAAGGAUCGGCUAACUCCGUGCCAGCAGCCGUGGUAAUACGGAGGAUCCAAGCGUUAUCCGGAAUCAUUGGGUUUAAAGGGUCCGUAGGCGGUUUAAUAAGUCAGUGGUGAAAGCCCAUCGCUCGACGAUGGAACGGCCAUUGAUACUGUUAGACUUGAAUUACAAGGAAGUAACUAGAAUAUGUAGUGUAGCGGUGAAAUGCUUAGAUAUUACAUGGAAUACCAAUUGCGAAGGCAGGUUACUACUUGUGGAUUGACGCUGAUGGACGAAAGCGUGGGGAGCGAACAGGAUUAGAAACCCCAGUAGUCC